rnacentral:rRNA from 1 species
UAGGUUUUCGGACCUAGAGACCGGCGCACGGGUGCGUAACGCGUAUGCAAUCUACCUUUUACAGAGGGAUAGCCCAGAGAAAUUUGGAUUAAUACCUCAUAGUAUUAUUGAAUGGCAUCAUUUAAUAAUUAAAGUCACAACGGUAAAAGAUGAGCAUGCGUCCCAUUAGCUAGUUGGUAAGGUAACGGCUUACCAAGGCAACGAUGGGUAGGGGUCCUGAGAGGGAGAUCCCCCACACUGGUACUGAGACACGGACCAGACUCCUACGGGAGGCAGCAGUGAGGAAUAUUGGUCAAUGGGCGCAAGCCUGAACCAGCCAUGCCGCGUGCAGGACGACGGUCCUAUGGA